rnacentral:rRNA from 1 species
CAGCAGCCGCGGUAAUACAGAGGGUGCGAGCGUUAAUCGGAUUUACUGGGCGUAAAGCGUGCGUAGGCGGCUUUUUAAGUCGGAUGUGAAAUCCCUGAGCUUAACUUAGGAAUUGCAUUCGAUACUGGGAAGAUAGAGUAUGGGAGAGGAUGGUAGAAUUCAAGGUGUAGCGGUGAAAUGCGUAGAGAUCUGGAGGAAUACCGAUGGCGAAGGCAGCCAUCUGGCCUAAUACUGACGCUGAGGUACGAAAGCAUGGGGAGCAAACAGGAUUAGAUACCCCUGUAGUCCCUGUCUCUUAUAC